rnacentral:lncRNA from 1 species
GAGAGAGCAUCUCACUCCCUCACCCAGGCUGGAGUACAGAGGUGGCUCACUGCAACCUCCACCUCCUGGGCUCAAGCGAUUCUCCUGCCUCAGCCUCCUGAGUAGCUGGGAUUACGGGCAUCCGCCACCAUUCCUGGCUAAUUUUUGUAUUUUUAGUAAAGACGGGGUUUCACCAUAUUGGCCAGGCUGGUCUCGAGCUCCCAGCCUCAGGUGAUCCGCCUGCCUCACCCUCCCAAAGUGCUGGUAUUACAGGUGUGAGCCACCACACCCGGCCAAUUUCCACACUUUAAUUUCACUCAAGUAAAAGCAGGAUCACAUUCCUGACAUAAGAACUAAUAUUUCACAUCAUUAGUUUGGAUUCGAUAUGUUCUUGAUUGGUUGUUUCUCGGGAAUAGUAACUCAUCUUUCCUACGUGUUAUUUCUCUUUUAUUGAUUGAGGAAAUAAAUGUAAUGACCAUCAUA